AUGAUAUAUGAUCAUUCAUGGGCAGUCUCCCAGGAAUUAAAACCCAGCGGCAAACUUGGACUUGAGAAGUUCCACGACCCCGGCCUCUACCCGGAGCGCCUUGGUGAGCACCGGCAUCGGGAUGGGUGGGUUGGAGCCGAAGAGCGUGAGUGGCACGAAGACGAUGCCGGGGUUCUGGCUGUUGAAGGAGACGACCAUGGAGGCCUCGGUCUUCCCGACAUUGAACUGGAAGUGCAUGAGGCCCCGCGGGAUGAGGAACGUCUCUCCGGCGCGCACCACCCUGGAGUAGAGCUUGUUCCCAGAGUCAAGGCUGCUGAGGAUUCCCACGAGGAGCUCACCUUUCAUCACGAUGCCGAUCUCGGUGGCACGCGGGUGGAUGUGUGGCGGGUUGGUGCCUCCGGGCGCAAAGUCCACGCGGUUCAUGGACACGCCCAGCGUGUUUGUGCCGGGCCACUCUGCCACAUCGAGCUCCGUCACGGCCGAGCCGUUAGGAGUGGACGUGUUGCCAGCCUUGGCCAGCUUGGAUGA
rnacentral:rRNA from 1 species